rnacentral:piRNA from 1 species
UGAUUCUUCAGAGGAUAUCUUCAAGGCCA